rnacentral:misc_RNA from 2 species
GGAUGGAUCAUUCUUGUGCUUUCAAACCAACCCCUGUCUUGAAAUGAUAUACGCUUUCUGCAUAGCAACAUUUGUCACCAAUAAAUUACAAAACUCAUUACGGUGGAUGACUCGGCUCUCGGUACGAGGAAGGGCGCAGCAAAACGCGUUAUGCAGUACGAUCUGCGAAAUCUCGUGAGUUACUCGAUUCCUGAACGCUAUAGUACGUUUGGACUUGUCCACACGUGUACUUGACUCGGUAGUAUUUCGAAUUUCUAGUAUCUAGAGAGUUGAGCUCCCUAGGUGCAAACCUAGCUAGCUGUCAUGGACCAUUUGAGACAUGAGCACAGUACUGUUCACAUUCUCAAACGUCUUAACGUGUUGUCUCCGAGUUCAAGUAAGGCAACCCGCUGAAUUUAAGCAUAUAAAUAAGCGGAGGAAAAGAAAUCAACAAAGAUUCCCUGAGUAGUGGCGAACGAAAUGGGAAGUGCCCGAUGUGAAUCUGCGCUCUUUGAGCGUUGAGUUGUGCAUCGUACAGAUAACUUUGGCAGAUCAGUAGUUAAGGUGCUAGAAAGAGCACGCCGUAGACGGUGAUGGCCCCGUGACUACUACUGACCAUGCCGUGUUAGUUUCUGUACAUCGAGUCACGCUUCUUGGGAGUGAAGCGCAAAAUGGGUGGUAAUCUUCAUCCAAGGCUAAAUAUAACCGAGAGAUCGAUAGCAAACAAGUACCGUGAGGGAAAGUUGAAAAGCACUUCGAAAGGAGAGUUAAAAUACCUGAAACCGUCAUGAGGGAAGCGCCUUCUUGUGCCUUUGAGGGUUACGGAACUUCUUGUCUUUGUGGACGCAAUGGACAUAAGUAUUCCUUUUUCCUCAGCCCGAUAGUGCUGUAUAUUUGAUGAUGUGCGUAGUAUCACGUACUCGUGCCUUGCACAUCUGAGAUCUCAUGCAGCAUUUUAUAUUGGGAUUGGCGCAAGUAGGCGACCCGUCUUGAAACACGGACCAAGGAGUUAAACAUGUGUGCAAGUGUAAGGGCGUUAUGCUCAUACGCGUAGUGAAAGCAACUGUGGUGAAUGUUAACGCAACCGCGGCCGGCUUUAUGUCUGUGCCUGAGCAUACUUGUUUAGACCCGAAAGAUGGUGAUCUAUACCUGGGUUGGGUGAAGCCAGGGGAAACCCUGGUGGAAGCUCGUAGCGAUACUGACGUGCAAAUCGUUCGUCGAACUUGGGUAUAGGGGCGAAAGACUAAUCGAACCAUCUAGUAGCUGGUUCCCUC